rnacentral:misc_RNA from 1 species
AAGUCGUAACAAGGUUUCCGUAGGUGAACCUGCGGAAGGAUCAUUAACACGUAUCCAACGUUAAACCCCCCUGUGAACCUUCAGAGAGCUCUUGCAUACCGUACGGAACAGCAAUCUUGGUAAAUCAGUGGCGAAAGUCGUUUUUGAUUCAGGACCUCUGUCCAGGACUUCAAUUGAGCGCAUACGCAGUGGGUCUGGAGACCUGGCCGGGCGGAUUAAAGUGUCGCUGUACGGUUUCGAGGUUAACAUUACGAUCGCUAGAGGCUCACCACGGGCCGGCGGACAGACCUGCAGGGCCUCGAGCCCCCCUACCUGACGACCAAGUUAAACCGGGCCUCGUCACAUAGCAAGUGCGCCGUGAUGGAGGAAAACGUACAACUGUUAACAAUGGAUAUCUUGGUUCUC